AAUACUCCAUUGUAUAUAUACACCACAUCUUCUUUAAGUGAUUUCCAUUUCUUUAACUGUGAGGGCUCUUGGGUUGAUCCUUCGCAUGUUAGUAGCUACUUACAUUUCUUCUGUGAAUUUCUUGUUCAUAGAUUUUCUUUCUUUCUUCCCUCCCUGGCCCCCAUCUUUCUUUAGGGUUGUUGGGCCUUUUCUUAUUGAUUUGGAAGAGCUCAUUAUACAUUAAGGAAAGUGGUAAUUGCUACAUUUUACAUGUGUUUUUCCCUGGCCAUGAAAGAACUUUACUGGGUAAUUAAAUUUAUCAGUCUUUUCCUUAAAUACAUCUAGAUUUCUGUCAUGCUUUAAAAAGCCUAUCCCACCUUGAGAUUUUUUAAAAAUUUCCUACGUUUUUUUCAAAUUCUUGGGUAGGACUGUGAGCACCAGGAUGAGCUAGGCUGGGUCCAGGCCUUAGAUCUCUCCCACUUCCAGGAUAACUCUGCGCCUCACUUUGCUACUCAGGAAAGUAGGAGUAAGGGCACCUGCUUCAUAAAGUCAGGUUGCGUGUGUGCUUCUCACCUCACACUUUCGACCCAAAGAAGGUUAAAGGCUCCAGAUUCACCAGAAAGAUCAACUGGUGGCCCACUGGAGCAGGAGGCUAGAUGAGGUGGAUCCAGGAUCUUCCAACUUCAUGAAUGAGUGGUUUUCCUUGAGUCUGGUUCCAUUGUUGUUUCCUUCAUCAUUGAUUGUCGACCUCCCAGGAAAAGGACCAGUUGCGUUCUGAGGGCCAUCAAGCCCCAGAGAAAUAGCAGGUCCUUGGGAGUCUGUUAGGGGCUCAAUUAUGCCCCUCUUCAAAAGCCAUAUGGUAAAGUCCUAACUCCCAGGACCUCUGAACAUAAUGCUAUUUGGAGAUAGUGUCUUCAAAGUGGUAAUUCAAUUUAAAUGAGGUCAUGAGGUGGGCCCUAAUCCAAUAUGACUGGUGUCCUUAUAAGAAGAGGACAUUUGGACACAGACAUGGACAAAAGGAAGAUCAUGUGAAGACACAGGAGAAGACAGCCCUCGACAAGGCAGGGAGAGAGACCAGGAACAAAUCCUUCCCUCAGGGUUCUCAGAAGAAACCAGACCCGCUGACACCUUGAUCUUGAACUUCCAGCCUCCAGAACGUUGCCCUCCCGGAAAGACAGUAUGUGAGGCUUUGGGUUUGGACCGAGAUAAAAGCUGGAGGACAGGUGCUCAACCACAGCGUGAGGACCCUCCCUUCACCGGGUGUGGACAAGGACAUCCACGUGGACCUCCUGAAAGCUGCUUCCCCUACCGCAGACCCCUGGAGGCCCACUGACAGCUGUGGCAAGAACAGGUGUGGGGACACAGGAAGCUGGCAGCCCCCACAGCCCCGGGAUGGGUGGGCAGCACACAAGGGUGGACAGAGGUUAACGCGGGGAGGGGCGAUGGAGACGAGACAGUGUGGCCCCUGUUGUGAGAUUUCCGGUCCUCCCUCCCAGCUUGCCAAGGCCUCCUGUGGGUGCUGGUCAUGUCCCCAGAGCUGCCAGAAUGCUCCUGUGCCCGUCCCUCUUCCUCUGCCCCCUACAUGCUAUCUUCCUGGAUCCCAGACUGGGAGCAAACCAAACCAAGGGCAAGAAAGGGACCGUCAGGGAAAUCUGGGAAAGCUGGACUGUGGUUUCAGGGAUGGCGUUUAGGGUCCACAGGCUGGGGCAGCAACAUGUCUGAGUGGAGGACAAGCCUCCUGGCCAAGUUCAUGCUUGAGAGACUGUUGGUGCGUCCCUUUACUAUUCCUGCGGGCUCUGAUGAGGUUCCUCCACACUGGACAGGGUAGGGGGCCUUCUGCAAGAUGAAGACCCUACCGUCCAGUACACUUGGGCCUCUGCGUGGGUAGGGAUUCUUCCCCAGCCUUGAGGGCCUGCAGGUCCUCUACUCGGUACCCAGAGCUUAGCCAGGUUGGGAGUGGCAUGGUGGGGGGAUGUGCCAUUCACACUGUGAUUUGGCCCCAAGGCCCAGACAGGCCUGGGCGCUAUCCCCCACCCAUCUCUGCCCACCACGCAGGCCAUGUCUGCUAAUGAGCCAGCUGCCGAGGAGUGGCUCCCAGCAGCUGCCCUGGCCCAGCCAGGUGUGUGUGGCCUGGGGCGGGCAAAUAGCCGGGCAGGCCGGGCACCACUUGUAAAGCGUAAUAACCCAGUACAGCAGGAUAAUCGCCCCUUCCCAAGAGGCAGACGUGAUCUCAUUAGCAAUCAUACAGAAGGUUGGAAUAAGUCUCCAUGCUCUUUGGGGUGGGGGAGGCACUCAAAGCCAGGAAAACUGCACUGUCUGCUCCAGGUGCAAAUGGGACCAAGCUCCAAGUUUGGAGAAACAGUAGAGUGAUAGGCAGGGGGACUGGGCGUGCUUAACCAAGAUGGAGAAAAAGACUCGGGGCUCAGGGCUGGCAGGCCGCGCUCCCAGCUGGGAGACUGUUCUGCGUCCUCACCCAGAAUACCCUCCUUGGACCAAAUAAGCCCUCCUCUGCUGGGAAGAGCUCUUAUCCAGGCCAUCCUGUUACCCUCUCUCCUGUGUACUCACCUGGUACUCUCACCUGCACCUGCACGGAGUUGGAAGGAAAGAAUGGCCAACACCUCACUGCACAGGGGAGGCUCUAUAGUUUGUCCUGGGUUAUGUGGUCACCAGUGUCCCCUGCUUGGUCAACUUCUGUUCUCCUAAUAUCUUUCCUUUAUGCAGGGGGUUACAACCCUUUUUUGGGAUGCAUGGCCACUUGUGAGAACCUGGUGGAAACUACCAAAGUCUUCCCAGAUGAGCACAUGUAAAAAUAAAAUGCCGUAUCUUAUAUCUAGGAGUUAGUGGAUUCUCUGAAUCAGUUCGUGCAUGGAUAUUCCAAGCCAGUGAUUUCCAUAGUGUGCAUCAGGAUGAUCUGGGGCUUGUCAAAUCUAAGGAUGUACAGGCCUCACCAGCUGGACUGGGGUAUGACCAGCAAUCUUCACUUUGGCCAGGUCCCAGCUUGUUGGGAAACAGGUUCCAGAACUGCACUUUGAGAAACACUACUGGAUGAGGCCUUGAGGAACAAGUGAAGAUUCUGCUUCAAACCCAUCUCCGUUUGUCAUCUAUUCAGAUGUAUGGAUCUUGACAUCCCAAAGGAAGUUGCAAGCUCCCCAACAAAAGGGACGUCAUCUUAAAUCUUUCUGUAUCCAAGACCUCAACCAUUAAGGUCUCAUUAAGUGUCAAAACUCCUUAAGAUUCCUGGAGGAGGAGUCCCAGGAAAAUCUACAACCCAACCAACACGGGGAGACUUUGUUUCUUCUAUUACCAACCGUGUCAGGCAACGUUGCCUUGUUGUGAUACAAUAGGAUUCCUUCCCUUCUCCUCUAUUCAUCUACCAUUGGGGGCACUUAGCAACUGGGGUCUAUGUCUGGGAGAAGCAUCUUUGCACAGGUAGAGAUAGUCACCAGGGAUCCUGGCUUUCCCACCCCCAGGCUCCAGUGGCUGUGUGCAAGCUGCCAACUGAAAGGCGAUACGUGCGUCUUGGCAUUGUUACACCCCUGGGUUAGCUGGUUUGAAUUUGGAAUUCUAAUCUGAUUGACUAAGUAACUUUUACUCUAAUGAGAACAGUAGGGUUUGGUCUUAAUCUGCAACCAUUUAAUCUUCCGUCUCAUUAAUUGUACAAAGGUCUUUAUGAAUAUGUAGAUUGGGAAGGGAAUAAAAGAUUAUUUGACCUUGAAGAAACACGUAUAAAGUAGGUGAACACUC